AGAGUUUGAUCAUGGCUCAGAACGAACGCUGGCGGCAGGCCUAACACAUGCAAGUCGAACGCCCGUAGCAAUACGGGAGUGGCGGACGGGAGAGAAACGCGUGGGUAUCUACCUAGCAGUACGGAAUAACCGCGGGAAACUGCGGCUAAUACCGUAUACGCCCUACGGGGGAAAGAUUUAUCGCUGCUAGAUGAGCCCGCGUCCGAUUAGCUAGUUGGCGGGGUAAUGGCCCACCAAGGCUAUGAUCGGUAGCUGGUCUGAGAGGACGAUCAGCCUCACUGGGACUGAGACACGGCCCAGACUCCUACGGGAGGCAGCAGUGGGGAAUAUUGGACAAUGGGGGAAACCCUGAUCCAGCCAUGGCCGCGUGGGUGAUGAAGGCCUUCGGGUUGUAAAGCCCUUUUGGCGGGGACGAUAAUGACGGUACCCGCAGAAUAAGCCCCGGCUAACUUCGUGCCAGCAGCCGCGGUAAUACGAAGGGGGCUAGCGUUGUUCGGAAUUACUGGGCGUAAAGCGCGCGUAGGCGGCUCACCAAGUCGGGCGUGAAAGCCCCGGGCUCAACCCGGGAAAUGCGCUCGAAACUUGUGGGCUGGAGGCCGGAAGAGGGUAGUGGAAUUCCCAGUGUAGAGGUGAAAUUCGUAGAUAUUGGGAAGAACACCAGUGGCGAAGGCGGCUACCUGGUCCGGAUCUGACGCUG
rnacentral:rRNA from 1 species